UACGAAGGGGGCUAGCGUUGUUCGGAAUCACUGGGCGUAAAGGGCGCGUAGGCGGCUUUAUAAGUCGGGGGUGAAAGCCUGUGGCUCAACCACAGAAUUGCCUUCGAUACUGUAGAGCUUGAGACCGGAAGAGGUAAGUGGAACUGCGAGUGUAGAGGUGAAAUUCGUAGAUACUCGCAAGAACACCAGUGGCGAAGGCGGCUCACUGGCCCGAUACUGACGCUGAGGCGCGAAAGCGUGGGGAGCAAACAGG
rnacentral:rRNA from 1 species